ACAAUCUUAUUAGUUUGUUUUAUGUCUUUACAAAUGUUCAAUUCAUAUGUUUUGUGGAAAGCUGAACUCAAUAUCGUCUAUAAUGUACCACUUCUUUAAAACAUAAGCGAUCAAUAUGUUUGGUUUAAACUUAUUUAUUACGACAUAGUAACAUAUUCACAAGUUACAAGACAUUGACAUAGGAUCAAUAUGUUUCAAUUAUGGUCCUCUUCCAGUUAGAAUAUAACUAUAGUACCUUGACCUUAUUGAAUAUGAACAAUUUCCCCAUGGUGGCUUACUUUAUACUGUCAAGCUCUUGAAUAGUCGAGCGCGCUGUUUUCUGACAGCUCUUGUUGUUUUUCUCAUCGACAUUUCCAUUUUAACAUUUAGUAGCCAAAAGGGUCCAAGUCCCCUUGAUCUCGCAAGAACGUACUGCCAGAAUUACGUUGAUCCACCAGGGUUUGAAGUAAAACCGUCAAUGAUGUCAUAGGCGAAGGAGUCUUUGCCACUAAGCCUUUUAAAAAAGGAGACUUUCUUCUCGAAUACAAAGGGGAUCUGAUAACACGAGUAAAACAUGCACGGCAAUUAGAAAAGGAGUAUGAAAAGGAGGGUCAAGGCAGCUUCAUUUACUUUUUUAAAUACAGAGACAAAUCUUGCUGCACUGACGCUACCAACGAUAUAUUUCAUGAGGGUCGAAUGAUAAAUGAUGCCGAAAAUGGAGACGCAAAACAAUAUUGUGUAAUGAAAAUAGUUGAAGUCAACCAAACUCUCCAUCUAUGCACUUUCGCCGACAGAGACAUUGCAAUUGGCGAGGAACUCCGAUAUGAUUAUGGAGUACCAACACUUCCAUGGAGAAAGGCAACACAAUGACUACUAGAUCUACGGACAGCCAGGAACCAGGACAAACAACAUCCACACACACGGAAGAAGUCAAUGAGACGAAAUGUACGGAACAAAAAAGGGCAACACAAUGACUACUGGAUCUACGGACAGCCAGGGACCAGGACAAACAACAUCCGUACACACGGAAGAAGUCGAUGAGACGAAAAGGGUACUUCAAAUACCAGGAGAACAAAACAAGCAGCCAAAAAGCAAUGGAGUGAAAACGAAAAAGGAGCUGUCCACAGACACUUUGAUCGUUUUUUGAUAAUGGGUAAAUUACCAGGGAAAAAAGAAAUACUUGCAUGUAUUGAAUGUGAGAAUGACCUUCACAACAGAAGUUGGAAAAAUGUCAAAGACUUUUGCAGAAAUUUAAUUGAAACAAAAAAGCGACGAGGACUUUUAACUUAAAAAAAUAUUACACAUAUAAUGCACGUUUAGGAGAAUACGUUAAAGGAUGAAGUUGCCACAUUUUUUUGUGUUUUCUUGUUCUAUAUACUCUUUUCGAAAACGAUAUAUGUGUGCUUAUUGUAUUUGAAUGUUUUAUUAAUACGGUUCAGUCAAAAACGUUAUUUGUUCAUAAUCAUAUCGCCGAACAAAUUAGGAUUGGUAUAUAGUUCGGCCAAAGAGUGUUUCUUUGUACUUUCUAUGACGAAUUUCUACGAGUUACUCACUAUACAAGUUAUUUUUUACCCUAAACUUGGUGUAUAUAAAUGAAUAUAGCAAACAUGAUAAAAAAUCAAUCUAGAAGGCUAAACGUUCAGAGAAGGCACAACAAAAUUCAGUCGGAUAAAUGGAAACAAACGUUUUGUUCAAGCAUAACAAACAAACACUUUUAGAUGUAAUAAGAUAAAUGUAAAUAACAUAAAAAAACUACUGCUAAACUACUGCUACAAUAUGAAGAAUACAAAUGAAUAUUUUGUCAAUUUUACUAAAUUUGUUUUGAAUGACAGGUGUCUGACUUGCAGUUGAGUACUUAAUAGAUAUUUUAAAGUAAAAAUUUACCAAAAUGUAAAUUAUUGCGUAAAUAUCGCACUAGAAUUGAUUAAAUAGUUGUUAAAUAUUACAAUAAUUUCCAACACAGAUUUGUGUGCAUUUGUUUUGCGUGUAGAUAUUCACAUAAGCUAUCAAUUCACAUAUUUGCUUUGUGUAUAUAAUUGGUAUGUUUAUAUGUUUUUCAUAUCAAAAUUGCUUGAUCUACAAAAAUUCGCGAGGAGUUUUGCAUUUUUUCCCAUGUUUUAAUUGAAGUUUAUAAUUCAACGACGAUGAAAAUUACUAAGAUGCCAGAUUUAGUUAUGUGUUUGUCUCAUUUAUGGUUAAAGAUCAAUUAACAUACCCAUUCCCCAGACUAAGAUAUUGUUAAAACAAUUUAUCGCGUUUGCGACUGACCUCUUUUAUGCAUUCUAACACAAGCUAUUUACUUGUUUUUUUUUCGAAUACUCUUCAUGUACACACACUUGAACAAGCUGUAGAUUACCUAGAACAAAACAUAUUUGAAACAUAUAUUCAUAUGUGAUAUGUAAAUGCAUGCACAAAGCUAAUAAUUUAUCAUGUUUAUACACUUUGCGAUAUGAUGCUAUAAUGUCGGUUGUUUUAAGUGAUUAAUCAUUAUGUUAACCAUGUUAUCUGCCAUCUGGAAUGUAAUUAAGUGUUUUGACAUGUAUGCGAAAUUGAUCGUGUUCGAUUUGGUGCUGUAUAUUCAGAAUUGAGUCACACUGUUAUAAUUUUCCUGUUGGUACAUAUUAUUUUUAAGUUGGCACCAACAAGGGUCUAACAAUUGAUCCACAUGUGCACUCCCAGUAAGUAUAUAUACUACAAUGUAAGUGAUUUAAAAUAAUAUUAAACUACGUGUUUGAUAA